rnacentral:lncRNA from 1 species
CUGGAAUGUUAGCAAGCUAUUUGCUGGAAAAAAUGCCCACAACAGGCCUAAUGUUGAUCACAUUAAUGCGUUUGAGUGAGUAUGGAGUGCAAAUGAUUGAAAAUGCUUCCAGAUCCCCGUUGCAAGGGACAAAGCAGGCUCUGUUCUCUGAUCUGAUGGUCAUUUUUUUUUCCAGCGGAGGAUGUGGGGCAGGAAGAGGGAAGAGGGCCAAUCUCUGUCUAAUGGUUCCAAACAGGGCCCGGGCCCGGCCCUCUGGAUGCUGACGAGUGGGAAAUGAAACACAGAUGGGUCAGAUGGGUAAGGAGAGGGGGAUUACAGGUCAGGCCAAAGAGUUGGAAUAAAUUAAGUGCUUAUGAGGUACAGAAUGGCACAUUGUUUAAGUGAAUGGACAGGGAAAAAACAUUCCAGCAUUGUUCAUCCGCCGAGGGAGCCCAACGCUCCUCUUCCCAGACGAGCCCAGGCCACAGAGCGCCUCCUCCUCGCCAGGAUGUUUGUGACCCACAGACUGAAAACGCGGCCAGGCGGUGCCCGAAACAUUAUCCUAGCCUCCAAAGAGGCCAGUUUGGCUUUAUUACACGGGAGAUGUAAUUUAUUGGGAGAAAUGUUUGGGUUCGUGUGUCGGAUGGUGGAGAGUCAGAUUUGGAGUUCCCUAGGGAUCUCCGAGGAGAAGGUGUGUUAAGGAAAUCACCAAGUCCCAGAGUGUAGACAAGCCCGAUCCCUUCGCAGCAGCGCGACAGAAAUUAUUUUCAGAAGUUUAUUUUCAUACCAGCCACGUUUCCAUUUUAUGGGCUUGACCUUUAGCAGAAUAUCCCACAGGCAACGCGGGAGACAGUGGUGCUCAUGCUGUGAGUAUGAAAAGCUUCUCAGUGGAUCGAUUGGGGCAGGGCAACUCCAGGCACACGGGGAGAUGACUCCCAACGACCAGUGUGGAAAGUCUGGAUGCAGCCUCUCUUUCAAAGGCCAGUGAUUUGCACUGUUAGGAUUUUAGUAAGUGGGUCCAAGUGAGUGAGAGCUGAUUAUGUGCACAUGUCAUCUUACUGUAUACUGUUUAGC